UGUAUUAGAUUAGAUUAGACAAGAUUAGAUUAGAUUACGUUAGAUUUCAUAACAUAAAAUUAGAUUAAAAAUAAAAUGUGAUUGAGUUUGGAUUUGAUAAGAUUACAAUUAGAUUUUUAAUCGUGGUGGGUUUAUCAGCUGAUUAUUUUCAUCUCUAAAUGGAAGAAAUCUCAAAAAGGCUAAUCUUUGGCUAACCUCUAGCUUUUUCCUGAGCUACAACUUUAUUUUUUAAAUGUUAUUUCUAAUCUAAUGUUUUAUUCGUCUCACGACAGACUGCUGAGGAGUUGUUUUCCACUCACGGAUGAUGUAGCGAAUGUUGAAUGUUUUCAUGGUGAAGCCAACCCAGAAAAGCACAAACACGUCUCUGCCCUGACCUGUACGUGCUGCUGCUGCAGCGCCACCAUCCAACAACAUGUGAGUGUGCACUCGCUGCUUCCUGGCAGGGCUGUGUGGAGGUGGUGAAGUCUCCUCCACACCAACUGUGCUGGAGACGCAGCUGAGGAGGCUGACGGCCUCAUCACGCCAACACUUCACUUUUAAAUCACGCCAUUGUUGUUUGUCUCCGAGCUCUGGAAGUUGCCAACGGUCCAUCCUGGCCAACAGGUGGACGAGGACGACGGGGAAUUAUGUAAGGAAAAAAAAAGAAAAAAGGAAACCAAGAAUAAAACAACUCCCAGCAGAGCAGAAGAAGAAUGAAGAAGGAGUCUGUUUGUACGAGUUUUUUUUUUGUUUUUCGUGGUUUGUUUACUGCAGCCUGACAGAUCUUCCAUCUAAACCUCACUUCUAUGGAGAUACUUUAUAUGUUGCAUCAAUGACAACUUCCAAAUCCUCAUCCCCUAAGAGUUGGUCCACAACUUUUAGGGGAUUUGUUUUAACAAGCUAAAAAUCAAUUUAAAAAAAUAAUAACAUUUUUGGUGAAAAGACAAUAAAAAACUCUCCAAAAGAUGGAAACACCAGGAGCAGCAACAUGGAUCUGCAUGUAUUGUGUGUCGAAAGAUGAUGGACGUUUAAUUAAUCCUCGACUUUUUUUUGCUGCCUUUUUUUAAGACCUGCCUCACAUUUCCUUCCUUCCUAAACAUAUUACACCGAUAUCAAUGUUGUUCUAUUUUAACAUCUGGGUUUCAUUACGUCUGCAAAGAGCAGAGAAAUACAGGGCAGAAAAUCAGAGAAGUGUUUUACUGCCACCCAGUGGACAAAUCCGGGACGCGCCAGAGGAAGAGGUCCUUUUCAUUUAUGAUGAAAUUAAAUGUUAUUUAAUUAUAGUUUGUAUGGAUUCAUAUUAUCACUGUGUUGGUAUAUUAUAUAUUAUGACGAAUUUUAUUUGAAUUCAAUAGUUUUGUUUAAUUAUCACCGCUGUUGAAUUGUUGAAUUUUUAUGACUUAAAAAACACAAUGACAAUUUACUAAUUCUAUUUUUUUAUUUUUCUUUACACAGAUUUAUAACAAACACUAAAGCUGUGCCUAAGGAUUUACGUUCGACGUUCACAGAUGGAAACGUGUUCUUGAGUUUAUAUUUAGAAAAAGAGGAAGGAAAGAGAAUCGACAGGAAACGGAGAGAUGUUGAGCGAUGCGACGUGCAGAGUCGGCGAUCGGGAGGAGGUGAACUUUACGGUGGGAGCGCUGAGGCGUCCUGUGAUCCUGACCUUUGACCCUUGUCUGUAGCCCUGCAGAGACACAGACGACAUUUACAUCUGAGGCGCCAACUUUGUUUUGUUUUCUCCAACAAGCUGCAUAAUAUAAUCACUGUCAUCAGAGCAGGAACAACAACAACAACAACAACGACGACGACUGUGUUCCCUCCUGAGUCACGUAAGUGCUCUGGCUGCAGCAGCGUUCCUGAAAAGCUGCCAGUUUGGAAAAAAAUCACUGAGCUCGGACUGAAAUGGGAUUUGACACGGUUGAGACGGAGGAGAAAAGCUGCUCCUCUGAACGCAGAUGCCACAGGAGGAAAAACAGAUCUGUUUCAGGCCAGGAAAGAAAAAAAAAAUUUUUUUUCAGUCACAGUUUUGUUUUAUUUCCUGAUGAUAUAACAAUGUUAACACAUCGGCCACACGGUGGAGUAGUGGUGCGUGAGGUUGCCUUACAGCAAGAUGGUUACAGGGUUUGAGCCCCAGUAGUAACUGGUGGUCUCUUCCAGGGUCUUCGGACGUCAGAUUCACUCUAAACUGACCGUAGUGUGAAUGUUGGUGUGAACAGUGACGUCCAGGUUCAGGUCCUGGUCCUGGUCCCCGCCCCACCACUCAGCCACCUGGCUAUUUGUCCAAACAUUUGAAACAGAAUUGGGCUUGUUUCAUUCAGUGUCUUUCACCAACUGGAGGUGGACGUUGGACGUGUGUUUGUCUCCACACAGGCGUUCCUUCUCCUCACCCACUGAGCCACAGGAGCGGUGCAGUAACGUCGUCUGUUCAACACCUGGACGAUUGUCACUGAACUCAUCGCAGAUGUUCUCGUUUCCCUCUGAAUUAAUUCCACAGCCACUUCACUUCUCAUCUGAAAAACCUGGCAACCCCCCCCCCCCCCCC